GCCCUCGAUGAUCAGUGGUGAUCGCCUUUGCCAACUGAAGGGCGAGUAUGACGUCACAAAGGAUAUGCAGGUUCGAUUCCUGCCGAGGGCG